rnacentral:rRNA from 1 species
UACGUAGGGGGCGAGCGUUAUCCGGAUUCAUUGGGCGUAAAGCGCGCGUAGGCGGGUGCCUAAGCGGGACCUCUAACCUCGGGGCUCAACCCCGAGCCGGGUCCCGAACUGGGCGCCUCGAGUGCGGUAGGGGAGAUCGGAAUUCCCGGUGUAGCGGUGGAAUGCGCAGAUAUCGGGAAGAACACCGAUGGCGAAGGCAGAUCUCUGGGCCGCCACUGACGCUGAGGCGCGAAAGCUAGGGGAGCGAACAG